CCUACGGGUGGCAGCAGUGAGGAAUAUUGGUCAAUGGACGAAAGUCUGAACCAGCCAAGUCGCGUGAGGGAAGACUGCCCUAUGGGUUGUAAACUUCUUUUGUAUGGGAGUAAAACAGGGUAUGUAUAUCCCCUUUAAUUGACCAUAAUUACAAAGAACGGCUAAACUCACUACCUCCACCCGGGUUAUGAGGAAGAACGGAGCGGUAACCGGAUUUAUUUGGUUUAAAGGGAGCGUAGGUGGAUUGUUAAGUCAGUUGUGAAAGUUUGCGGCUCAACCGUACCUUUGCAGUUGAAACUGGCAGUCUUGAGUACAGUAGAGGUGGGCGGAAUUCGUGGUGUAGCGGUGAAAUGCUUAGAUAUCACGAAGAACUCCGAUUGCGAAGGCAGCUCACUGGACUGCAACUGACACUGAGGCUCGAAAGUGUGGGUAUCAAACAGGAUUAGAUACCCGUGUAGUC
rnacentral:rRNA from 1 species